rfam:Hordeum vulgare subsp. vulgare, WGS project CAJW01000000 data, contig: morex_contig_73217
CUUGCCUAUGAUGAGUUGCAAACGUUAUUGCCUACAUUGUUUGAUCAAUAUUGUGGGAAGCUUAUGCAACAUCUGAGGAUGAG